rnacentral:rRNA from 1 species
CCUACGGGAGGCAGCAGUGAGGAAUAUUGGUCAAUGGGCGCGAGCCUGAACCAGCCAAGUAGCGUGAAGGAUGACUGCCCUACGGGUUGUAAACUUCUUUUAUAAAGGAAUAAAGUGAGGCACGUGUGCCUUUUUGUAUGUACUUUAUGAAUAAGGAUCGGCUAAAUCCGUGCCCUCAGCCGCGGUAAUUCGGAGGAUCCGAGCGUUAUCCGGAUUUAUUGGGUUUAAAGGGCGCGUAGAUGGGUUGUUAAGUCAGUUGUGAAAGGUUGCGGCUCAACCGUAAAAUUGCAAUUGAUACUGGCAGUCUUGAGUACAGUUGAGGUAGGCGGAAUUCGUGGUGUAGCGGUGAAAUGCUUAGAUAUCACGAAGAACCCCGAUUGCGAAGGCAGCUUACUAAACUGUGACUGACAUUGAUGCUCGAAAGUGUGGGUAUCAAACAGGAUUAGAUACCCCUGUAGUC